GAUGAAGAACGUAGUGAAAUGCGAUAAGUAAUGCGAAUUGCAGAAUUUCCGUGAAUCAUCGAAUCUUUGAACGCACAUUGCGCCCGCCAGUAUUCUGGCGGGCAUGCCUGUUCGAGCGUCAUUUCAACCAUCAAGCCCCCGGCUUGUGUUGGGGACCUGCGGCUGCCGCAGGCCCUGAAAAGCAGUGGCGGGCUCGCUGUCACACCGAGCGUAGUAGCAUACAUCUCGCUCUGGGCGUGCUGCGGGUUCCGGCCGUUAAACCACCUUCAUAACCCAAGGUUGACCUCGGAUCAGGUAGGAAGACCCGCUGAACUUAAGCAUAUCAAUAAGCGGAGGA
rnacentral:misc_RNA from 1 species